GACGAUCCCUGGCGGCGUGCUUAACACAUGCAAGUCGAACGGAAAGGCCCUGCUCUUGUGGCGUGCUCGAGUGGCGAACGGGUCUGUAACACGUGAGUAACCUGCCCUUGCCUCUGGGAUAACUUCAGGAAACUGGGGCUAAUACCGGAUAGUAGCUCCUGCGGCAUGGUGGGGGUUGGAAAGUUUCGGCGGUUGGGGAUGGACUCGCGGCUUCUCAGCUUGUUGGGGGGGUGGUGGCUUACCAAGGGUUUGACGGGUAGCCGGCCUGAGAGGGUGACCGGCACCAUUGGGACUGAGAUACGGCCCAUGCUCCUCCGGGAGGCAGCAGUGGGGAAUAUUGCACAAUGGGCGGAAGCCUGAUGCAGCGACGGCGCGUGCGGGACGACGGCCUUAGGGUUGUAACCCGCGUUCGCGUGGGGCGAAGCGUGAGUGCCGGUAAUAGGUAAAGGAGCACCGGCUAACUACGAG
rnacentral:rRNA from 1 species